GAGGGUAUAACUCAGUGGUAGAGCGCAUGCUUAGCACGCAUGAGGUCCUGGGUUCAAUCCCCAAUACCACUG
rfam:Camelus ferus unplaced genomic scaffold scaffold15685, whole genome shotgun sequence.